CUUAACCAUGGAGGGUGACUAGAAACUGGUAGACUUGAGUAUAGGAGAGGAAAGUGGAAUUCCACGUGUAGCGGUGAAAUGCGUAGAUAUGUAGAGGAACACCGGUGGCGAAGGCGGCUUUCUGGCCUAUUACUGACGCUAAUGCACGAAAGCGUGGGUAGCAAACAGGAUUAGAUACCCUGGUAGUCCACGCCGUAAACGAUGAGUACUAAGUGUUGGGGGAAACCUCGGUGCUGAAGUUAACGCAUUAAGUACUCCGCCUGGGAAGUACGGUCGCAAGACUGAAACUCAAAGGAAUUGACGGGGACCCGCACAAGCGGUGGAGCAUGUGGUUUAAUUCGACGCAACGCGAAGAACCUUACCAGGCCUUGACAUCGUGAUGAUCGCUCUAGAGAUAGAGUUUUCCUUCGGGACAUC
rnacentral:rRNA from 1 species